AUAGGGAAUUAGUACUACACUGCGUGAGCGGAACGAAAACAACAACACCUAAAAUGUGGAAUAUAGCAUAUAGUCGACAAGAGAAAUCUACGAAAAACAAACAAAACUUUCAACAACGGAUCUCUUGGUUCUCGCAUCGAUGAAGAGCGCAGCGAAAUGCGAUACCUAGUGUGAAUUGCAGCCAUCGUGAAUCAUCGAGUUCUUGAACGCACAUUGCGCCCCUCGGCAUUCCGGGGGGCAUGCCUGUUUGAGCGUCGUUUCCAUCUUGCGCGUGCGCAGAGUUGGGGGAGCGGAGCGGACGACGUGUAAAGAGCGUCGGAGCUGCGACUCGCCUGAAAGGGAGCGAAGCUGGCCGAGCGAACUAGACUUUUUUUCAGGGACGCUUGGCGGCCGAGAGCGAGUGUUGCGAGACAACAAAAAGCUCGACCUCAAAUCAGGUAGGAAUACCCGCUGAACUUAAGCAUAUCAAUAAGCGGAGGAA
rnacentral:rRNA from 1 species